CUUUCAUCAAUAAUUCCUUCAAACUCCUUCAACCUCCCAUUGAACUUUACGAAAGCCGCAUUUAUAGCCGGUUCCUCUGUCCAUGCUGGCUCUAUUUGCUGCCCAAGAUACUCCUCAUCGGGAGAAUGAUUUGAUAGCACAUCCAAUAUAGCCAUCACUGUUGUAGCCUGAAUUUGUGAAGGGAAUGUUGUCAAUAGUAUCACUUCAGGUUUCUCCCAAAAUAGUUUCAGCAACUCAUCGUUCGGGUCUUCGGUUGGCAUAUUCAUCCUAGCAGUUGUAGGCCUAUUUGGAAAGUAUCCUGCAUAUGUAUAUUGUCCGAAAUUCACUGCGGCAUGAUGACCGGAGGCUAUCCAUAUGAUAGUUGUCAGGGUUUCAAUAAGGUCCUGAGGUGUUUUAAGCACAGGCCACCAGGGUUCAUCUUUCUUGUCAGCGUGACCUACCGUUCGAACUUCUGUCCACCAUGCUUGGAGCUCAUUAUCAGACACAAUGAGACUUGAGUCUGCAUAGUAGUGAUUGACAUAGUCACUAACCCACUCUUUGAUGAUAUCCCAUAAAACCAAACCAUCAUUGGCAUAUGGAUAGUCUUCCACCAUCAAUUUCAAUCCAUGUGGAGCAGAUGGAUCUUCCACAGCCAUUCCCCUGUCAAUUAUCAGAAUCAGAAAGAAAAUGUUUUAACUAGCAGCCGCUUCAAAAGGCUUAUUAAUUAUGACUAGCAGCAUCUAAGUUUGGUAGAAUGAUAGGCUAGCUAAGGAUCGAUCAAACAUACCUGUUUAUUAGAUCCUUGGGCAGCGCCUCGUAGUCAAACCGCCAUUCUUGAUCAUAGACAACAGAGCUUAAUUCCAUAGAAUACUUGCCAGGAAAGAAUGACGUCUCUAUAACCCCUUUUGCACUAAUUAGAUAUUGUCGAGCUAGAGCAUUGAUCUCCAUUGUGUACCGGAAAUGCGGGUGCAAGAGUCUGUAGAUUGGAUGCAUUUCACUAAGUUGGCGAUUGGCCGCGAUUAUGUAUGGUUCUGUGCAGCAAUGUGUUCUUAGCCUGCAAAAUAUAACAUAUGAUACAUGUUUGUGAAUCGAUUCAAAUCCUAUUUUUUUCAUCGCAACUUCGAACAAACCGAAAAUUUUUGUGCAUUAAUGCAAGGCGGCUGCUAACUCAAGCGCAAGGAAAGUGCAUACCAGUGACUAAUAAGUUGGUGAUAGCCAGACUCAUGUGCAAGGACAUGAGCUUUGGCAAGCCUCCAAAGCCAAACACCAGUGGAAUGCCAAGCUGGUCUAAACACUUGCUUCCAUUGCGGCUUACCAUCCAUCGGUGGUCGAGUGAGCUCAAUAGCUAGUGGUCUCAAUGUUCCUUCAUGGGUUAAGAAGAACAAUGUCCGUGACCCGUAUAGUGUCGUGCCUUUCAGCUCUCUUAUUGUGCUUACGAAAGGUAGGAAUAAAUCAUGGUAGUCAAGGAUGAAAAGCUUCUGAUCUUUUACUGCCUACGUUCAUCAAUGCACCGAAUUUAGUUUGUUAAGAGGAAAAUCAAGAUGAGUUUGAAUACCGUUACGCGAUUGGUUUUCUACUUCAUACCUGUCCACAUGUCAUGAACCCUUUGAUUUCUUGCUCAACCAUUUCUGCAGUGAUUGCUGAUUCUUGGGGACCGUAGAUUUCAGGGUCUAGUUUACUCCUUAAUGGCCAUUCCUGCAUGAUUUAAUGCAAUACUUUCAUCAAGAAAAGAGUAAUGUUUCAGCAUCGUUAGUUUUAAUAUUACCAACAUUUGUGAAUAAUUGAUUCAUUUCUUGAUGAACCGCAUGAACCUGGACUGGUUUUUCCUUUCUUAUUAAUGGACAAAAAUACUAUACCGUGACCAUUUUGAUGCAACAAGGGUUGAGACCAGAAAGAGUCUGUCUAGCAAAUUCUUCAUCCCUGAACCAAAAAAAUCUGUCUCCUGAAACACAAAAACUCUUAAAAUGAGAAAAUGAUAGAUAUCUUUUCAUUUAUGAUUGAUUUAUUAAUUUCCCAUGUCGAAUCUAGUUCUUAUUAUAGGUAUAAAAAAUAUCUUACUCUCCAUGGUAUCAGGAGUCUCAAAUUUCAAGACAUCUUUAGUUCCAUCAGUUAUGGCCCUGAAAAGGUUAGGCAGAAGAUCUUUCCAAAACCCCUGUUUCUUAAGGGGAGGCAAAUUGAUUCCUUCAUUGAAUAGUGCGUCAAUGGAACUGAAGAAUGGGAAUCCAAGUUCACUGUCAACAAUAGCGGUUGAUAGAGAAGGUACUAGGGCAUGCAAUACUGAUUUGAGAGUCUUGGCAGAAAACGUGCCCAUCUUUACUUCUGAGAAUUCUUCAUCUCGAGGCACGUAGAAACUGCUACUCCUUGUCUCCGUAAGUGGAUCUAUCAGCACAAUUGUUUCCAAAUUGUUAGAAUCAAUGAAGGAAAAAAUUAUUUUCCAUGAUUUAGUUAAUAGGUACAGAUUAACAGUUAUAUAUUUGACAAUUUCUUUUAAUAGAUAGGUUUUAGUUUAGUAAUUCUAUUUUAUUUGAUUAUUAUAUAAUGAAAGAAGGAUUAUUUCCAUUAUGUAGAUUAAGAUAAGCCUUUUUUUUAAAAAAAAAAAAAAACAUUUUCUUAUCGAGUUUAUGCAAGCAAAGUUAUUAAAUCUACCCAGUUUAAAGCUUAGGUUAAUGAUUAUACAGAUUAAUCAAGAUUAAUUCAAAAAAAUCAAAAUAUUUUUAUUCAAUUUUAAAAAAUAAAAACUAAGCCACUCAUUUUGAAUCAAUUUUUAUUUUUCGGAUGAAAGGAUCGUAAUUAUUUUUCAAACACAAUCCAACACUAGCUUGGUCAUGGAUCAGACAGGGAAUUUCACUCUAACAAAAUAUUUUUGUUCAAUUUUUUUUGAACAAAAAACUAAGCGACUCGUUUCGAAUUAAUUUUUUUUCAUUAUUUUUCACUCGAACACAAUCCAACACUACUAUUUUUUUCAUUAUUUUUCUGCAUUUACCUGACUCGGUCCGUGGUCGGCCAGUACGGCAACGCCUAGGGUACGGGUGCUCUUUGCCACCUAGCACCGGCCUUGCUGUCUCUGGAUCACUAUCAGGAUUUCCAAGAUCAUUGUACACAUCAUAGUCAUAGAUCCUUUCACCUUUCUUUCGUUCUCCAUUGUCAUUGCCUCGUAAAGUUUCGAGUUCUUCCUUUCUCAGUUUUGUCAAUCCAUUUGGUGUUUCUGAUGGCAAGUAUGACUAUUCCAUGAAACACAAAAAUCAAUCAGUAUAAAAAAUUAUGUUUAGCGGGAUAUUUUAUAAAAUUAAAAUAAUAUUUUUUUAUUUUUUUAAAUUUAUUUUUGAUAUUAACAUAUUAAAAUAAUUUAAUAAAUUUCUUUAAAAAAGAUGUCUAAUAUAUAAAUAUUCAUAUGGAUCGAGGUUUUAUUUUUUUUACCAUAUCCAUGACCUGAAAACUUCACAUGGUAAUAUUCACAUUAUCAUGAGAAAAAAAAAUAUAAUUAAAUCAUGAACGUUGAGUUAAAGCAUAUAAAGUAUACAUAUCAGCUCCCACGAUGGAUUAUAUCUUGUGAUUUUAUCACAUGAAAUCUUUUGUAUUGUUUUUCUAGUUAUUCACUCUUUCAACAAAACGUUUAAUUUAUAUAUAUUAAAAAAAUUAUCCAACAUGGUAAUUAAUUAAUAACAAUGUCAAAUUAAACAAAAAAAAAAGAUCUUGGAUCACAUUAAAGUAAUUAACUGUUAGAGAAUAAUAUAAAUCAUGUCUUGAAAACUCACCUAAUAAUUAAAGUUUUUAAGUUGAGAUGAUUUUUUAACAUGGUAUCAGAGUUUUGAUGACCAAGCUUUGAUGGUUAAGCAGUUACGAGUUCGAAUUUCAUUAUCUACAUCUAUUUGAUAAAAAAAAAAUUAAGUACAAGAUAAUAUGGAUCUAUAUAAUUUUCAAACUCAAAAAUCUUUCACUUAAUAAGAUAUGUUAGAGAAAAAUAUAAAUAACAUCUUAAAACCUUACUUAAUAUCUUAAACUUUUAGGAACUAACCUUAUUAUCAAAAAGUAACUAACCUUAUUAGUGAAAAAGAGUCUCUUCUUUUUAUUGUCAAACUUCGAAUGGAUCCAUGAAUCACAAGUCACAUGAACUGGUCCAGUAGGGAAGCCAUCAAGCACAACAUCAUGAAGGUACAUCUCUUUAUGGUGCUCAUUUUCAACAAAAAUGGCACCAAUCUCUCCAAAAUCUGGUGGAACCACAAAAUCCGCUUCAUACUUGAUAUCCUCCCCUUCAUGAUCUAUCUUGUGUGCGUACUUUCGAAUUGAGGGCUUCUCUAAUCCCGUCUCUAGAGAAAUAAAUAAAUAAAAAAGUUGGAAUUUAGAUAAGGAAUCAACUUUUUUCCUUUUUUUAGGUGGGUACGUACAGCUUUUGUACUUACACAAGUUUUUUCUUACUUCAAUCAUUCAAAUAUAUAUAUAUAUUUCUUUGUAAACAAGGAAUAUAUGUUAAUUUUUUUCAAUAAAUAAAUCAUUCGAUAAGAACUUAAAAAGUUGUUUCUUGCACUUGUAAAGAAAAAAGAAAAAUAAAAUACUUGAAGCACUGGUCUUUCAAGAAGCACUACUUACUUGGGUCAAGCUCCGCACUAACAAGCUCCAAGAGGAGUGUUUUGCCAAACAGGUCUGUAAAAUCAUCCAGUCCUCGUUCUAUCCCUAUUUCUGUCCAAAAAUCAACAACUGUUUGUUUCACAGUCACCACAGCCUUAACAUCUGUGGACUGCUGUGUGACACUAGCUAUAGAUUUAAUGCUUCCAUGUUUAUAGCCAACACGAACUUUUUUGUUUGCUUUAGUGGACAAGGACCUUGAAUACACAGGAAAAGAAGCAUGACCACUGCCAUGGAUGAAUGGUUUAGGUAGUAGAAAAGGGAUUUUUGUUGAAAGGUGUGACUGGUGAAGCUGUGGCUUCAACAUUGUUGCUAAUAGGAGAGGAGAUACUUAGGUUUAACUAGGAGUUUGUUGUAUGAAAAUCUGUAGUGAGCAAGCUAUGAUAUAUAGAACGAGAGAGAGAGAGAGAGAGGAACAUGUUUUUCAUUUGGUCUAUAAUCCAUGCACGUGAUACAUGAAUUAUUGGCUUGCAACUUGCAAGAUAACUAUAUUUGUUUACAGGUUAUCAUAACAUCAUUUACAUGUUCAAAUUCAAAGAAAAUUGUCAAAAAUAAAUUUCUCAUGAAAGAGUGGAUUUUAUUGGUAUUUCUUUUUUCUAUAUAUGCUGAUACGUACAAAGUUAUGAUUGUCCCAAGAAAAUCAAUUCUUAUAAUUUUGUUUAUCUUUUAAAUAUAUUUUAUUACACAGAAAUAUUUGUGUGUACAAGAACCUUAUAAUUAAUAGCUUAGCUUUAAUAUUUAGCUAGAUAGGAAAAUUAUAUCUGCUUGAUAGGGAUUAAUUUGACAAACAUUACGAAGUUGAAGAAUUACUCUAGUCUUCCAUCACAAUGAGAAAUAUUUUUGUGUCAAAUUCUUUGAAACAAGGAUUAAUACCUACGCUAGACUCGAUUCAAAAAUAAGAAUUGAAGAUAUACUUGAUGACAAUACUUUUUUUUUUAGCUUUAAAUGUCUAUUAAGCGAAAGGAUUAACAGAAUAGUAUUCAAUUUCAAUAUUGCACCCCCAAAAAUGAGAUUGUAGCUUACUUGAACGGGAAACCUCCCCCAGCAGCUAAAGUCACUGCUAAAAUAAACUUUAAGUUACACAGACUAUAUUUCGACCACAAAUCGUUAAUGAUCUUAUCUAUCCAUGGAUCCUGUCUCUUACUAACCGCACGUGGAAGGACCACUCUUUUACCUUACAAAUGAUUUAUAGUUUUUUAAUGGGUUUUUUUCUACAGAGGGAUUGAUUUGUUUUGUUUUUUGAAUUUUUUAAAACAAAGAAAAAUCAUCUUGUUUUUUUCAAAUAUUUUAUUGUUAAUCAAACACUACCAGAAAAUUGAUAAAUACAAAUGAAAAUUUGACCACCCCAACAUUCAAUCUGUCAGCAUCCUUGUUCUUAUUAAAUAUUUUUAAAGAUUCCUUACAUCAAGUAAGCAAAACUAUCUAUUUUUUGUUUAAACUCAAUUUGAAAAUUUUAAUUUUUAUUAUAUAUUUUUGUAGUAUAUAUAGUUUGUUUGCGUGUUUACUUGUUUUAUAGCUUCUCCCACAUGAAUUUGUUGUAUGAAUGUAUGGUUUAUACAUGUUAGAGUUUGUUUGAGAUUUUAAAAUUAAAUUUUAAUUUGUUUGUAAUUUGAUGAAAUUGAUUUUGAAUUUGUGACUUAAGUGUUUUCUAAUUAAAUAAAUAAUAGCUUAUUUAAUGAGCCUGUUUUAUAUUUUGACAAUUUUAUUGUUGAGUUGAAAAUUUUGGUAAAUAUAUAGGAAUUUCAAUCUAUGUACAUAAUUGAUAAUGAUUUAAGAAUACUAUUAAAAUAGAUUGAAUAAGUUUGAUUUAAAUUAAUAUUAGCUAAUUUAUUUAGUUUACAAAAUUAAUUAAUAUAUGUUGUCAUCAAUAUUCUAUAUAGGUUUAAUAUAAGUAAUGGAUGAUUGUUCAUGGAUGUAUCGAGAUUCACCCGAAAGGUUGUGCAGGAUGAAUUAUUGUAAUUAGGUUAAGGGUUUUAUUAAUUACAUACUGUCUAAUCCAAAAAAUAUUAGUUGACGCGAUACUAGAUGUCCAUGUAAAAAGUGUAAAAAUAAAAAGUUUCUCGAUCCAGAUGUUAUAACGAUACAUCUUCUACAAUAAGUAUUCAUUGAGAAUUUUUUGUAUUGAUUUGCACACAAAGAACCAUAUGUUUCUUACAAGAUCAUAAUAGAAAAUAUGAUUAGGUCAAUUCUAAUUCUAGAAACGUGUAUGGAGUUGUAGAUUAUAAUAGUAAUUCUUAUAGGAAUAUGGUUAUGAAUGCGAUAAGAAUGAAUCAAGGUCAUGCAAGUGAAUCUCUAGUCAUAGAUGAAAAACCAAAUGCAAACGCAACUAGGUUUUUUUUAUCUUUUGAAAGACUUUGAUGAACCAUUAUGGGAUGAGUGCACAAAUUAUAGUAAACUAUCGAUCAUUGCAUAGAUGUUCACCAUCAAAUCAGAUCAUGGGUUGAGUGAUGAGGUCAGUUACGAGAAAAUUGUUGAAUGAGCCAGAAGCAUUUUACCAGAAAAGAAUAGGCCGAAAGAAAACUUCUAUGUUAUUAAAUCCAUGAUAAAACCUCUCGACUUAGGAUAUUAAAAAAUUGACAUGUGUCCAAACAUCUUCAUAUUGUACUACCUUGAAAAUACAGAGUUGACCGAGUAUAGAGCAUAUGGGCAUGCUUGUUAUAAACCAAAAACUGGCAGGGUAAGGACUCUUAUCGCACAUAAAAAAACUUAGAUACUUCUAAAUCUCUCCUAGAUUGCAAAAGUUAUUUAUGUUUUCAAAGAUUGUUAAACACAUAACAUGACAUCAUUCACAUGAUGUGGUGGAUGAAGUCAUGGUGUUCCUAUUCGAUGAUAAAGCCUUGAAACAUUUUAAUUUGGAGCAUCCUCAAUCUUCAAUGAAAUCAAGGAACAUGUGUCUUUAAAUUUUUAAAUUUUUUCUUUUUUUUUUCUUUUAAAAUUUGAUUUUUUUUUCUAAUUUCAUCCUUCAAUAUUAUAGUAAUUGUUACCAAAUUCUCUCACUAACAAUUUUUUUUUUUAAAAGAAUCAUCAAAAGAACAAAAGAAAAUAUAUUACAGUGAACUAACCAUUCUAUGGGAUCGACUUGAUAAUCAAGGAGAUUUGCUUCAUCGUUUUUUUUUUAAUUCGAAGUUUGAUUAGUUCUUCUAGAUGCGCCAAAUUUUUAAUAGUUCAGAUAAUAUAUUUAAUCUUGAUUGAUAAACAAUCUAAUCCAUGUAUAUAUAAAAAGAAUUUAGUUUAGUUAUAAAAUAAAUAGAUUUAACCUCAAUUCUUCAAAAUAGGUUAAAGAAAAUAAAUUUAUCGUAACACCGUGAUAUAUUAUAAAUAUGCCUGUGGACUGUACAAAUAAUGCAGCAAUUGCAAAAGGGCAUUUAUUUUUUGGGAUGUCAAGUCAGGCAUGGACAAGGUACAUUCAUUCACGUGCAUCAUCUCAUGGAGUCCAGAUAAGACAUUAAAGAGAGAACAAUGGUGCGAUAUAUCCUUGCUUUAAAGUGUUGUCCAACAUGCUUCUUCGUUUUUGACAAUAUGUUCAAACAAGAUAUGGAAGCCAGAAAAUAUGAUAGAAAAUAUCUGUCGUCAUUCAAAGAGGAUCACUCAUUUUUUCCCUUCAUUUUCUUUUGGUACCAUAGUUAUUAAAUCUGAACUGGCUGGGUUGAUUUAAUAGCUGUACUGAUCUAAAUAAAGUAAAUGAUUAGAAAAAGCAAUAAAAUAGUCAAACUCAGUUGGUUUACCAGAUCGACCCAUGACCUGGCAAAACCUAGUUGGGUUUUGAUUUAUUUUAAAUGUGUUUUUUCUCAUAAUUAGAAACUCCUCUUUUUUCAUAUUUUUUUAGUUGUUUAUUAACCUUUUUUAAAGUUCAUUAUAUAAAUACUAAAAGAAUUUUUUUUUUAAUGUGGGAUUUAAAACUGUUUAGUAUAUAUAUUUUAUGUUUACAAGACAAAAAAUUAUUUUUUCAAUAUGGGAUCCGAAGCCCUUUAAUAUAUAUAUUCUAUGUUCACAAGAAAAAAAAUAUGUUUUUUCAAUGUGGGAUAAAAAACUUUUUUGAUUUAAAUACUUCAACUUAAAAGGAUAACAUAAUAUCUUUUCAACAUAAGAUAAAAAAUAUUUUGAAAUAAUAUUUUAAACUUCAUUAUUUACAACAUGUAUAGCUUAUAUUUACAUGAAUUGUUUCUUAAUUUUUUCAUAUGAAAUAUUAAAACUUUAAAUAUAUAUUUUUUUAAUUUUUCCGAGUUAAUUCGGGUUGACCUAGGUCAACCCGUAUAACCCGGGAUCUGACCCUUUAAUCAGGUCAACUCCUAAAUCGAGUUUAAUAACUAUGUUUGAUUCAUCUAAUAUCUUAUUACAUUUUAUUAAUCACCAUAAAUUAUGAUUAAUUGUGAGUAUGUUUUUACUCUAAUCAGCUUCGCAUAUGAAUUCAAAACCUAAUUUCGACUGGUUUUAAUUUCAUAAAAAAAUAAUAAAGAGAUGGGGCAUGUUUUAAUAACUUUAUAAUUUCGUUUAGAUAUUUUUCUUAAAAAUAAAUUAACCUAGAUUAAUUAACUUAUAUAAUCUAAAACCCGAGCGUUACGUCGUAUAUAGUCUAAUAACUAUAAGUUUUUACAAUGAACGAAAGAAAAUGCAAAAAUUAUUGAAAUGGGUCAUCAAUCAGUAUCCUAUCAGCCAAGUACAAGAGAUGGGGCUAGCUAGUUGAUGACGGUGUCUUGUCGUUGAAAAUGAUGCAUAUCUGCUGCAUGUGUUUUUACAUUGAACCAUCAAUCCAUCACCAUCACGGUCUGUAUGGGUUUCCAUGUUGCUAGGUUCAUUUGGUUUUCUGGUUUUUUUUUCUUCGUUAUUCUUCAUUUUUGGGGGUUUGAUCUGUUGUUCAAGUUUUUUUUAAGUUUUUUGUGUUUUUUGCAAGUUCAAUCUAUUUUGGCUUUGGUUUUUGUUUUCGGUUCGUUUUUGGAUCAAAGCAAGAUUUUUUAUUCGGUUCAUGGUCAAACCAUAUAUUUUAAGUCAAUCCAGUCGAGUCAACCUAGUCAGUCAACUCAAUCAAGUUAACCUAGUUAGGUCAUUUAAAAAAAAUCCGAAUCACAAGACUUAUACCCUCUUUGGUUUUGUCAUUUUUUUUUGUUAAGGGUGUCUUGGUUUAAGGGUGUUUGACAAACACCUUUAGACUUAUUUUAUUUAGUUUUAUUACAAAAAAUAGUUUCUUUUACCAAACAAGACUUAAAAAAUAAUAAUAAAUAUUUUUUUUUUUUUUACAUAUGGCUAAAAAUCCAAAAUUUAUUUGAGCAUAUUUUUCAAGAAAAUUUUAAACACUCUUGGCAUUUUUUUUUAAAAAAUAUAUUGCAUGGAUUUUAUAAUUAGUUUGCAGAAUUCUAAAGGAUUUUGGUUUGUAUUUAAUUUUUUUUUUUGCAAGAAAAUAUUAUUCAUUUUUAAUAUAAGGAUAAAAAAAAACCUAAAAAGAGCUAAUAUCCAAAAUAUUAUUAGGAAUAAUAAUUAUAUUAUUUACUUUUAAUAUAAGGAUUAAAAAAAACCUAAAAGGAGUUAAUAUCCAAAAUAUUAUUAGGAAUAAUAAUUUUAUUCCUCACUUUAGUAGAAGGAUAAAAAACCUAUAUGAGGUUAAUAUCCAAAAUAUUAUUGUUAAUAAUGCAACUCAUUCACUUCUAAUAUAAAGAUAAAACCCAUAAGAAAUUUUAUCUAAAAUAUUAUUUGGAAUGACGUAGCAACCCAAAAAGAAUUUAAGUUUUUCCUUGAAAGAAGUCUCAACAAUAAUUGAGGAUAUUUUACUUUUCCAGACUGGGUUCUUGACCUAGAAAAUUAAGAUUUGUUCAUUGUAGCGGACCCCUCAUAAUAAGUCAGUAGAAAUAGAUAUCAUCAGACCAUAGCAAACAAUAAAAAAAAAUGAAGCUUACCCUUAGGUAAGGCGUUUAGGAAUGCUAAUACUUUCCUUUUAUGUAAUCAAUUUCUUGCUUAAAAUAUAUAUAAAAAAAACACAAAAACUAGUUAGAAUUCCUAACAAUAAUAUUAAUUAGAUUGCAACUCUCUACCCAAAUCAAAGACCAUUCUAAAAGACAUUGCUUGAGAAUUGUCACCGCGACAUCACGCUAUCGCUAGAAGGGUAUCAGCAUUAAGUUGGUAAACGUAGUACAAAUUUGAAUAUACGAUUUCUUUUCGGUCAUUGAAAGGCGAGAAUCAUGGUGAAGGAACUUUAUUUAAUUCCUUUUUUAUGCUUAUAUUUAUGAAAAAUUAACAUUUUUUUUUCUUCUAUUUUUGUUAGUGUUGGAUAUAAUCUCAAAUCUUUAUUUUUUGUUUCCUUUUUAUGCUUUUGGAUUUUGAUAUUUUGGGGGAUGGAAUUUGAGCUGUCCAACGAAGAGAGGAUGAAAUAUCUGAUAGGCCAAUGGUAGAAUGACAUGUGGAUGAAGUUGCUAGGGUUUAUCAAAUUUGUUUUACUCCAUUACUGGCAAGUAUUUUUUUUAUAAUACUUUAUGAUUUUAUGUACUUUAUCAUGCAGAAUAUGGCAUUUUAAAAAAUUCCAAAAAUUCAUUUUGUCACAUGAAAGAGACUAUUGGUUAAUUUGUCAGCAUUUAAAUAACUUACAAAAUUAAUGUCCCUAUCCUACUUUUGUUUUCUAUUGUGCCUUUGUCGUUGAGGGAUUCUAUUCGACUAUUCAAAGAAAGGGAAGAAUAUUCAAACUUUUCUUUGACUAGCUGUUUAAAAUAGAUUAUGCUAAGAAAUUUUUGUUUUGCAGUAAUAAAAUCCGAUGAUUAAACCGUUUGUAAUUUUUUAAAAAAUGAGAUUGAAUCCUUCAUUGUAGAUCGGUGUAGAAAUUAUAGAUGAAAUUUUUGGAUUGGUAGGGUAUUAAUUGUUGUAUCUCCUAUUGUGUGGAUGAUUUAUUACAUUAGUGGCCCAACCUAGUAUUUGAAAAAUUCCAGCGUAAGGCUUGAUCUAUGCUUUCUUGUUGUGUUAGCUGGAGUAUAUGGCUUAUGAGAAAUAAUAUUAUCUUCAAUAAUAGAACUGCGACCUUCAAAGAUAGCUUCCCCUUAAUUCUAUAUCGUCUCUCGAAUUUGCUCAAGUUUAUAGAUAAGUUCUUCAUGGUUACUGGAACAUAUUUGAUUAUGGGGCUUGAAGGUAUUAUAAAUUCAUCUAACAACACCAAAUCAAGGUUUUAAGCAUGAUGCAUAAGCUCUUUCAGUCUCAAUAUUUUUUUUUCUGAUUUGUUUUGCUUUUUUUUUUUUUUGUCUGCUUUUAGUUUUUGUAAAUUUUUUUUCUUUUUUUUUUCUUGUAUCUUGCUUUUGGCUAUCUUCUAGUUAGCCCUUUUCAUAUAUCGAUUUCUUUCAAAAAAACAAAAAAAGGAAAUAAUGUUCAAUCAUAGGGUAUCUCUCGACCAAAAUCGGUGAGGCUGAUCAGUUUACACCAAGGUACUCUUUUUAUAAUGUUCGCAUAUAUGUGUUUAUACAAUGUUAAAAAUGUUCAACAUUCAUCAAGAAUAUGAUAUAAAUUAUUUUAGUAAAUCCUCUAAAAAAAUACCAUUAAAAACAGAAUUAUUUUCACUAAUAUGUUUUUUUUCCUUGUUAUCUAAUCAAAAGUUAAUUGUUAUUAUAUGAUAUGAAAAGAAAAUUAACAGAAUGACAGGUAGCUCCCCUCUAGUCCACAAAUCCUGAAAUAUUUCUGGCUAUAAGAUCAAUAAACGGGAUAUUCUCAAUUAUUCUAUGGGAAAGAUAUCGAUCAAUUACCUACAACCCUGUAAAUCCAAUGUUGGUCGACUAAAGCUAAUCGAUUAAAUUCCUUCGUUAAAUCUACAGGGAUUGCUUUCAAUUAUCUGAUCUUUUAGGCAAAUGCAAGAAGAAACAACUUAGCGCAACACUAUUCCACCAUAUUGUUUUAUUUUUUUUUCAUACCAUUACAAGUUUUCAAACUUCAGAUAGAGAUGCUGUAAGGAACUCCUUUUCCUGUAACUCCAGGGUCAGAAAAUGGCUUCAAAAGCUCAUAAGGCACAACGCCAGCUCCGUUUCUAUUCUUCAAUUUAAUGUCAGCAUUCCUUUCAUCAAUAAUUCCUUCAAACUCCUUCAACCUCCCAUUGAACUUUACGAAAGCCGCAUUUAUAGCCGGUUCCUCUG
rnacentral:lncRNA from 1 species